AGAAUUUUAAGUUAUUUAAACUGGAAGCCUUCAAAGCUUUUUAAAAAAGUAUUAAUCUUUUAAAUUCUA
rnacentral:tRNA from 1 species